ACUAAAACGCUUACGGAAUUUGCAUACAAUAUAGAUAACGUUGAAAACUGCAUACGAUAUGAACAAAGAAGGAAAUUGCAGACGUGAAGAACUCCAAUGAUAUACAUGUAGGGCAUGUGUCCAAAGCUGAUCCACAUCAUAACAUACUCAUUGGGAAUAAUGACAUAGUACCAAAAGAUGUGCUUAUACUGUAAUUAGCAGAUCUUCACAAUUGAACCUGGCAGAUCCUGGUGCAACCUUACCUUACCAUGUUUACAUCUAACCGUCAGUUUGAGCUGUGUGUGGGUGGUAACACGGACUAUAUACAUGUAUUGCCCAGUAAUUGUCUUGUGAUGGACCUUUUUAACAUAUCAAGUAUUUAAUUGAAGACUUAAGAGGUCAGUUUUCAUCAAAGAAUUUAAAAAUACUGUUUUUUUUGUAAGGAUGAAUAUGUGGUUAUAAUGGCAUUGAUGUAUAUCUUGUGUCUGUUUUUUAAUCAGCCUUUCAUCCAUUAUUAUGAAUAUUAAGCAUGAUAAAGUAUUUUAAGGGAAUAUAAUGUAGAAAUGUUAUGUUGUUUCUGCACAAGCUUUUGAAUACAAGAAAUUCCAUGUUCACUCAGCACUGUUUACACAUUGUCAAUGAAUUUGCUUGUUUUAGUUUCCAAAUCUGUCUGUCUCUAGCUCCCUGUGAAUAAUGUACUUUUUUACAUUGCAUCCAUUGAUUUUAAAUGGAGUGUAUUAUGCACAUGUCACACUUUUUUACAAAAACAUCAAGGUCAAAGGUAAAAUAUAUGGGUCAAAAUCAUAACUUUUGCAAUAUUGAAGAUAGCAACUUGAUAUUUGGCAUGCAUGUGUACCUCAUGGAGCUGCACAUUUUGAGUGGUGAAAGGUCAAGGUCAUCCUUCAAGGUCAAAGGUCAAAUAUAUGGGUCAAAAUCGCUCAAAAAGGGACAUUGUGUAUUGUGUUUUACAAACACAUACCUUGUUAUGUUA